GACGAACGCUGGCGGCGGGCUUAACACAUGCAAGUCGAACGGAAAGGCCCUGCUUUUGUGGGGUGCUCGAGUGGCGAACGGGUGAGUAACACGUGAGUAACCUGCCCUUGACUUUGGGAUAACUUCAGGAAACUGGGGCUAAUACCGGAUAGGAGCUCCUGCUGCAUGGUGGGGGUUGGAAAGUUUCGGCGGUUGUGGAUGGACGGGCGGCUUAUCAGCUUGUUGGUGGGGUAGUGGCUUACCAAGGCUUUGACGGGUAGCCGGCCUGAGAGGGUGACCGGCCACAUGGGGACUGAGAGACGGACCAGACUCCUACGGGAGGCAGAAGUGGGGAAUAUUGCACAAUGGGCGGAAGCCUGAUGCAGCAACGCCGCGUGCGGGAUGACGGCCUUCGGGUUGUAAACCGCUGUCGCCUGUGACGAAGCGUGAGUGACGGUAAUGGGUAAAGAAGCACCGGCUAACUACGUG
rnacentral:rRNA from 1 species